UACGUAGGGAGCAAGCGUUGUCCGGAAUCAUUGGGCGUAAAGCGCGCGCAGGCGGUUUCUUAAGUCUGAUGUGAAAGCCCACGGCUCAACCGUGGAGGGUCAUUGGAAACUGGGAAACUUGAGUGCAGAAGAGAAGAGCGGAAUUCCACGUGUAGCGGUGAAAUGCGUAGAGAUGUGGAGGAACACCAGUGGCGAAGGCGGCUCUUUGGUCUGUAACUGACGCUGAGGCGCGAAAGCGUGGGGAGCAAACAGG
rnacentral:rRNA from 1 species